rnacentral:rRNA from 1 species
GACGAACGCUGGCGGCGUGCUUAACACAUGCAAGUCGAACGGUGAAGCGCCUUCCUUUUUGGUGGGUGUGGAUGAGUGGCGAACGGGUGAGUAACACGUGAGUAACCUGCCCCCUUCUUCUGGAUAACCGCAUGAAAGUGUGGCUAAUACGGGAUAUUCUGGGUCUGUCGCAUGAUGGGUCUGGGAAAGAUAUUGUUUCGGUGGGGGAUGGGCUCGCGGCCUAUCAGCUUGUUGGUGGGGUGAUGGCCUACCAAGGCGGUGACGGGUAGCCGGCCUGAGAGGGUGGACGGUCACACUGGAACUGAGGCACGGUACAGACUCCUACGGGAGGCAGCAGUGGGGAAUAUUGCACAAUGGGCGCAAGACUGAUGCAGCGACGCCGCGUGAGGGAUGGAGGCCUUCGGGUUGUGAACCUCUUUCGCCAGUGAAGCAGGCCUGCCUCGUUUGUGGGUGGGUUGACGGUAGCUGGAUAAGAAGCGCCGGCUAACUACGUG